rnacentral:rRNA from 1 species
AUUGAACGCUGGCGGCAGGCCUAACACAUGCAAGUCGAGCGGAUGAAGGGAGCUUGCUCCUGGAUUCAGCGGCGGACGGGUGAGUAAUGCCUAGGAAUCUGCCUGGUAGUGGGGGAUAACGUCCGGAAACGGGCGCUAAUACCGCAUACGUCCUGAGGGAGAAAGUGGGGGAUCUUCGGACCUCACGCUAUCAGAUGAGCCUAGGUCGGAUUAGCUAGUUGGUGGGGUAAAGGCCUACCAAGGCGACGAUCCGUAACUGGUCUGAGAGGAUGAUCAGUCACACUGGAACUGGGACACGGUCCAGACUCCUACGGGAGGCAGCAGUGGGGAAUAUUGGACAAUGGGCGAAAGCCUGAUCCAGCCAUGCCGCGUGUGUGAAAAAGGUCUUCGGAUUGUAAAGCACUUUAAGUUGGGAGGAAGGGCAGUAAGUUAAUACCUUGCUGUUUUGACGUUACCAACAGAAUAAGCACCGGCUAACUUCGUG